GACGAACGCUGGCGGCGUGCUUAACACAUGCAAGUCGAACGGAAAGGCCCUGCUUUUGUGGGGUGCUCGAGUGGCGAACGGGUGAGUAACACGUGAGUAACCUGCCCUUGACUUUGGGAUAACUUCAGGAAACUGGGGCUAAUACCGGAUAGGAGCUCCUGCUGCAUGGUGGGGGUUGGAAAGUUUCGGCGGUUGGGGAUGGACUCGCGGCUUAUCAGCUUGUUGGUGGGGUAGUGGCUUACCAAGGCUUUGACGGGUAGCCGGCCUGAGAGGGUGACCGGCCAAAUUGGGAUUGAGAUACGGCCCAGCCCCCUACGGGAGGCAGCAGUGGGGUAUAGUGCAUUAUGGGCUGAAGCCUGAUGCAGCAAAGCCGCGUGCGGGAUGACGGCCUUCGGGUUGUAUUCCGCUUUCGCCUGUGACGAAGCGUGAGUGACGGUAAUGGGUAAAGAAGCACCGGCUAACUACGUG
rnacentral:rRNA from 1 species